UUGAAUUGUGCUAUAUAAAUAAACUUGCCUUGCCUUGCCUUGCCUUACAGUUACUUACAAUGUACUUGCGUUACAUUGUAAAAUAACCAAACUCACUGAAAAUCAUUAUUUAAUUUCAAUAAUUUAUCUUCUAAAGGUAAAAAUAAACUCUGCCGCUUUAACAUCGCUGUAGUGCAGCUGUACGUCAUUUCGCGCCAGUUUGCUGCAUAGUCGUAUUCUACAGCGGAAGAUGUCGGACUCGGCUGAAGCGAGGGCCUGUUUUAUGAAAUGGAAAUAUUCCCGUCACUUCACUUUUCUAAAACAAGCAGACAAGAACAUUACGGUAAUAUGUAAGCUAUGUCCUGGGGAGAAAAAACUAUCGGCCGCUGUCAAUAGCACGAGUAAUCUGCUGAAGCACCUGACACGGCAGCACAGACAAAGCCUUCUGAGUGAGCCAUCUUCAUCAUCCAUGGAUAACACCGCGGCAACUCCUGCUAAGCAGACGAAACUUGAUUUCACUUCAGCAACACAGAAAGUGUCUGAAGGUGAGCUUAAGAAAAUGAUUGCAGGCUACGUUGUGGAAGAGAUGGUAACGCUGCGUACUGUAGAGUCUCCGUCUUUUAGGUGCAUAUUAAACAAAAUACCUGUGUGUGGCAAAAAAGCAGCACUGCCUGAUCGAAAAACGUUUUCUACUUACUUAGAUAAGUGUUAUGCUGACAUGGAAAUGGAGCUUAAAGAGACGUUCGAGAGUUUGGAAUAUAUUUCCAGGACUGCUGACAUUUGGACCAGCCAUAACAAAAGUUUUCUCGGAAUGACGGCACACUGGAUUGAUCCUUCUACUUUUGUACGAGGACAUGCAGCGCUAGCAUGUAAAAGAGUUCGAGGGAGACGCACAUAUGAUGUCAUCGGCAAUGAAAUCGAGCAAGUACAUUCGGCUUAUGGACUGAACUCUAAAGUGACAGCCACCGUGACAGACAACGGGUCCAAUUUUAUCAAAGCUUUUAGAAUGUUCCUAAAAUCAGACUCUGAUGAGGAAUCGGAAGAAGAUGAAGAGGUGACAUUUACCGAUGUUGAGCAGACCCUCUCCACAGAAUCUGAAGGACAGUUUUCUCUCCCUCCACACUUAAGGUGUGCAUCACACACACUGAACUUAAUUUUUCAUGAUGUUGAGAAAUGGCUUCAAGCAAAUGAGGCAAAAUUCAUCUACAGAAGUGCAACUUCAAAGUGUUCUGCAAUGUGGACAAAAGCAAACCGUUCUUCUGUUGCUUCAGAGUUGGUAGAUAAUUUUUUCAAGAAAAAAACUCAUAGUACCUGUUUCAACACGAUGGAAUUCAUUUCACGACGCCCUGUCCAGGAUCACUGACAUUCCCCUUGCUGAAUUAAAUACUGUCUGCACUCAGUUUGGAAUCAAAUGCUUCACUGAUCGGGAGUAUCUGUUCCUAAAGGAGUAUUGUAUCGUGUUGAAGCCACUCACUGUUGCACUAGACAUAUUGCAAGGAGAAGAGAACUGCUAUUUUGGAAUCCUUCUUCCAACUCUGGAGAUUCUAAUGUCCAGGACGCUGGCACUGCAGGAUGAGCUUAAGCUGACAGCAUCCCUCCCUGAUAUCAUUGUUAAGGCGAUCAAGGUGCGCUUUUCCUCAAUGAUGGACAAUAAAGAAGCUCUCCUGGCUGCAGUCACUUUGCCUAAAUUUAAGUUACGGUGGAUCAGAGAAGAAGAGAAAAAAGACAUGGUUAGGGCAAUGCUUACUACAGAGUGCUGUGGGUUGUCUCUUGAAGACCAACAACCUGCUCAAGAUCACAAGAACCCUGCUGACUCCACCGAUGACUUUUUUUCAUUUGAGGAGGACGACUGUACCUACUCUGCUGAAACAGAGGUGAUGGAAUAUUUGAAAUCUGCUGGGUCUGAGCUGGGUGUUCUUAGCCAGUUUCCCAGGAUUAAGGCCAUUUCACUGAGGUACAACACAGCCACACCAUCAAGCGCACCAGUCGAAAGGCUUUUUAGCCUCGGCAAUCUUGUGUUUACACCCAGAAGGAACAGACUGUCAAGUGAACGCUUUGAGAGACUUACAUUAAUGAGAUACAACAACUUUUUCAAAAACAACACAGCUAAGUAGUACAAAAAAUGUUUUGGAAAACAUGAGUACAUACAGCAUGCAGGAAAUAUGGUGCUCAUUGGUUUGAGGAAGUUUCAGAGGAAUUCUGUUCGUUAACCAAAGUUCAGAGUUAACUUCACUUUGUUGAAUCACAUGAUAUGAUUACAUACAUUAUGUAUGAAUAUGUUACUCAUUGCUUUGAAAAUUUAAAAAUUUUAAUGUUUACUGCGUGAAAUAUGUCAUGUUUAACAUUUCUUAAGUUAAGCUUUUUUGUUAUUCAGAUAUGUUGCAGAAAAAUAUAUUUGUUAUUCUGGAAUUGUGUUUCUUAGCUAAAGAAAGUUACAUUCCUUACUAAAAAAUGUAAUUAUUAAAGAAUGUUUUUUUAUAGAAUGUAAUAAAGAUGAUUCAGGAAGCAA